rnacentral:lncRNA from 1 species
UCGCGCAGGCAAUGGUACAAAUGGAGAAGCCAGUCCAUCAACUUCUAGGUUUGGUAAUCAACUGAGUUUCUCAUCAAGGCAGUCUUCAUACUCAGGUCGAAUGCCUCGGAUUGCUGAAGAUGAGAAUGGGAACUUGGGAGAAGAUGAGAAUGCUAAUGGUAGCAAUUCACCUUACCAGUCUAGCUUCCCAGAUGAUUCGUGGGACGAUUCUUCAUUUAAUGACCUCAAAAUAGCCAGAGACACUGAUGGGAACAAGUUUUCUACUUCGACUGCAUUCGAAUCACAGGUAGGAUUUGCAAUUUUUCUGUAAACCAUAUUUGGUCUUCACUUUUUACUUGCUGCUUGCUCAUCAUAUUGGUAAUGUUUGUUUUUCUUUCAUCAGAACAAUGAUUUUGGACACCGCAAUCAUGGCUCGACGCAACACUUGAGGUUUUCCAAACAUUUUGAGAUGCCUGCUAUGGAGAAGUAUUUGCAAUUUGAAGAUUCUAUUCCUCGUAAAAUUCGUGCCAAAAGAGGUUUCGCCACUCACCCGCGAAGCAUUGCAGAGAGGGUAAAUCUUCUUUUAUUUUAUUCGUCUUGUGGUUGGUUUACACUUCACAAGGAUUCAGUAGCAGAGCUACAUGUUACCAUAGCCAGAUUAUAUGAAAUCCGUGAUCGUGAAUACUGUGAAUUUCAGAUGAGAAGGACGCGGAUUAGUGAAAGAAUGAAGAAAUUGCAGGAGCUUUUCCCAAACAUGGACAAGGUAUUUGCUACGCUUGCAAUUAUCACCAUUGUAGCGGCGUUUUCUUGAAUGCAUGAAAACUGAGUCUUGUGUUGUGUGUUGUAUUCUUGGCAGCAAACAAACACGGCAGAAAAGUUGGACUUGGCGGUCGGGUUCAUAAAAGACCUUCAGAAACAGGUUCAGGUAAAGUUGCAGCAAAUGAAAUGUGUAAUCUUUGUAUCGAAUUAAUCCACACGAAACUCAACCAACUAUUUCUUCCCUCUGAAGUGUUAUUUAACUCUGAAUGCAGACACUCAAGGAUACGAAGGCCAAGUGCAGUUGUUCGAGCGAACAAUAACAAAUUCAGUGCAAAUCCUUCUGUCCGGUUUGUUCAUGUAAAGAUAGCAGUAGAAGAUCGGAGAGGGAAAGGAAAGCGAUUUUUUUUUUUGUUUUCAGGUUUAUUUGACUUGAGAGAUAAUAGUAGGAUGGUAGGAUGUACUGUUGAAUGUUAGCUUUGUAGGCAGGCUUCUGUUGUUUCAAUUUCAUCAUGGUCUGAAAGAAAAGCAAACUAAUAAAUUACCUCAAAGCACUUAGUGAUGAGUGAGAGUCGAGAAGUGAAUUACGAUGACGAUAUGUUAUGGUUCGAUCCCUUCCAACGUAGACUUUAAAACGAAAAUCGCGCGAUUUGUUUAUGGUAAUUUUUGCUACUAGUGUCACCACCAUCUGCAACACGGCACCAUUUUAGGGCCUCUCAAGCUUCAUUUCCAGAAGCAAAAUCAAUGACCAGCACCUCACAUUGUUGAGUUGUUUGAUGGUUAGAUUUUCAAUUAUUUGGUGUAAAAGAAAAGAUAUUUAUGGAUAAAUUAUAAAAAAGAAAUGCCUUCCAAAACUUGAGUGACUAAUGAAAAGAAAACAGUAAAAAGCGAUGCUUUAGUACCCUAAAGUCACAAAAUUUUUACUUUUAUACUUUCAAUUGUCGGACUAUCUAGUUAAUUGUGUUUUUUUUUUGGCAUGCUACUCAAUGGGCACGCUUUUGUUUACAUGAACGUAAAAUUGAGGCUUUUAUUUACAAAAUUCUUAUUUGUUAUCCAUAUUGUUGUGGGCAUAAUUUACUGAACAAUUAUGGAUGCCAGAAAAAGAGAGAGGGUGAGGCAUAGAGAGAAGAUAGAGAUGUGUAAAUGUGGAUGUGUGUUAUUCCACCCCAUUCUACCUUUAUUUAUAGUAGUAGGGAAGGUUAAUUCAUUUCCCUUUAGGAUUACAACAUUUAAUAGGUAAUCUACCCCUAAUAAGAAUAUAAGAGUUAUUCCAAGAUAUACUAGGAUUUACACAAUUACAUUCCUAAUCUAAUAGGACCGCAACACUCCCCCUUAAGUGUGUAAUACUCAAGUAAAUGGCGCAUCAGGUCUUCAGUGAUGAAGCAAGUAUAGUUGAUGAAGUCGUUAGCACAUUGAGCGAAUGCGAGUCUCAAAUCAACAGAAGAAUGCAUAAAAAGUAAAACUCACAAAACCUCCUUAUGGUAAAACCCAAGGUGGGAAAAAAAACUCAUAGUCUAAGGAGAAAAGUGAGAAGUUGCAUUAAGUCAAAACUAUACGUCUUUUGGACGCAAGUAGAUGAGCUCACAAGGGUAUAAUCAGCCCAGGAUAGAUGCCUCGUUAAAACCUAGUUAGGUAGGAAAAACCCAGUGGGAAAAAUGCUCCUAAUCGUAAGGAAAAAAGUACAUUAAGAUCAAGUGAGUAUACUUCUGGAUACUCCCCCUGAGUUUGACAUAACUUUCAAAUGAGAACUACAAGCAUUGCAUAUGAACAGUUAGGCAUACCAAUUCCUCAAACAAGCUUUUGGAAGGUUGACUUCAGCAGUGACAUCGUAUAGUGGUCGGCAAGGUUGUCUGGGAUCGGCUUGCAUGACUUCAAUCUUCUGAUGCUUUGCUGAUGUAGAUGUAAACGCAAUAUGUCUUGGUGUUGACUUUGUUGAUGUAUCAUGGCUUGGUCGGGUUGAUACAUGCGGCAUAAUCUUCAUGGAUCGUCAUUGGGCCUCAACGAUGGAUGAAAACACAGCAAGUACUUCGAAUAUUCUCAACAAGAACUCCUAACCAUGUCUCACUUGUGGCGUAGUGAAGUGAGGUGAGUCUUGGAACGAUUCGAAGAUUUCGUAACUAAAGUCAUAUUGUAGACCUCUAAGAUAUUGCGAUAUCCCUAACGGUAAACACAUAACCAUUUGGGGAUUUUUCCUUGUGCGGGUUUGAUAAGUAACAUGCGUCAGCAUAACAAACAAGGCAAGCAUCAUUCCGAGGAUCAUGGGGGUUGGAUCCACUCGAGAUGUGUUGGGAUUUGCCCCCGUAGUACCUUUAGGGUACGUCUUUAAUACCAAUUCAGUGGUUGCGUGUAGGCGCAGUGCUGCAUCUUAACCAAGAUCAACAGCGAAGGAGAUGUCCUGUCUAAAUACAAUGAACUAAGUACAACGAAGCGCAAAGUUGAACUCAGAUAUGGAAAUUCGGAUUCCAUAACCUCUUCAAUGAUCUCAUUUGCAUAUAACGUAUGGACGAUCAAAGGUAUACUCAAGGGUGACACAUUCAGGGUGUAGUUCAACUGGUAGACCAAAAGUCAGAACAAUGCUCCAACUUCAGGUUAAAGUAUAAAAGAGUUUUCCCAAGAUCCUUCAUCUCAAAUUCCAUCUUCAGGUGUAAGGCAGUUUUCUCAAGCUCUUUCGGUGUCUUAGUGAGAUUCGUCUUAACGACAUAAACUGUAACUCUAGCAAUUUGGAAUAAGACUUCAUAAUUUAACACGCAAUGGCAUAAUUCAUAUCCUUGACUGAUCAAAUAAUCACUUAGACGGGUAUACCACAUCCGUCGGAUUGUAAGUGAACGCCUCAAACAAGUUAACAGGGUGUUCCGUGGUUUUGGAACUAUUUGAACCAGUCUAUGUAAUUCUUCAGGAACUUACAUGUAAAUCUCCAUAUCUAUAUCCCCAUGGAGAAACACUAACCACAUUUCAUAAUGUUGUUAUCAAUCACAUGACGUUUUGAGAGAAACCUUGCGCCAUAAGAUGUGUAUCAUAUCGCACUAUUUCAUUCAUCUCAAUAUGCUUCCUUUCCCACUUGUAACACAAUAGGGUUAUCUUGGGUAAUGUAGGGACAACAGGUCCAAUACACAUUUUGGUAAGGAAUUUGACAUGGAUUGUAACUUUAUUUGUCCAAUAAGUUCUACGUUGUCACUUAAUCAACGGAACACGGUCGAUAUCGUUGCGUUUCAUUUAUGUCGGUAGCUACCAUAUAAGUGAAAACAUCGUCGAUGAUAAUCUCAUUUCAAUUCCAUUUUCUCAUCCAAACUAGUAUACUGGACCAAAAACUUUUUAAGUCUCGGGAGAAAUCCGGAUUAAUCUCAUGAGAUGGAAAUGAUUUGAGACAGAUUCAUUGUUGUGCCAUGUCAUCCUCUUCUAGGGAAGUGAAUCCUACGAACCGAAUGAUCUGUCAUGCUCCAGGCCAAGACAUAUUGAUUGGCUAUCCGUCGGUGUACCGGACCGUCCAACAGGGGCGGCACACCCUCCGAGGAUGUUGACUCGACGUCCGUUAAGUAAGUCUAUCCUUGCAGGCAUAUAUGCAGCUGGUAUAUGAUCUCGUCACUUUAGCUAGAUCAAAGGAAUGCGUCUAGAGAAACAUUUUGAAAUUUAGAAUUUAUCGCACUUGCUUAUCACACUGGUGCGGUAUGGGGAUCAAGAUCAGACAUAGUGGGCAACGUACACAUAAAUUCGCGCUGUUCUACAGGAACGUUGACGUUUUUAUCUCCCCCUAACAACGGGAAGACUGUCUCGUUAAAGUGACAACCCGCAAAUGAGCAGUAAAGAGAUCGCAUGCAAGGGCUCGAAAAAAGCUAGUGUGAAGGAGAAUCAUGAUCGACAAAAGAUACACAUCCUUCUUUAAGGACUCAUGGUGGUACAUUACGGCGGCGUAACUUGGCACAUGGAAUGCACACCCAAAUGCGUAAUACGAAAAUGGUCAGGUUCGUACCUAAUAACCAACUGUAACGUCAUAUAGGUUGGUUGGCAAUGGGCCUCAAGGCGGACCAACAUAAUUGCGUACAAGGAUUGCAUAGCCCUAGGCAGAAACUGAAAACUUGGUACGUUUACCAAAAUUUGAGCAAUCAUUUAAAUUGUGCUUUAUGAUCACUAAGUGAGGCUAUUUGGGGUGAACAUGGGAAUUCAAUGUUCAAUUAUAAACCCAAAACACAUGCAAUACUUUAUCGAAAAUCGUCGAUAUAAACUCUUCGAUAUUAUCCUGUCUCCCGGACCUUAAGGGAUAAGUAGGGUGGUGAACCCUUAAUCAGUCAAGAGGUUUAGCAGUAAUGUGUGUGGACAAACAUGUGACCAGUUUGUCGUUUCAUCAACCAAAACCAUAAGUAUUUAUAUGGUCCGCAUUUUGGUUGGAUUAGUCCACAUAUAUUCCCUUGAAUCCACUGUGAAAAGAGGUGAUUUCGUAUCUUUGCGAGAAAUGAUACAGAAAAUCAAUUUCCCUAAUGAGCAAGCUUGGCAAAGUAUGCUUGUAGUCACAAGAUCCUUACUUCGGGUAAGGAGAUGUGUCGUAGCAUCAUUGUUCGACCUAAGUGUCCCAAAAGGUCGGCCAAAACAAGUAAACUGCUCAAUCACCCAGCUCCAGGCCGGCCACAUGUGGUGUGUUCCCAGUUGGGAGACAACCCAUUGGCCCCAAAUCAAAGUUUCAAGAUCAUUUUUUUGAGGUGGUGUAAAGAUAUUUCAAUCUAUUUUCUUCAGUGGUUUCAUUUAUGAUCAUUAUCAUCUCGAAUAUCCUUAAAAACUCAACGUCACAGAGAAUUUAAGGUCCCUUAAAUGAUAAUUUAGUACCAUUCAUACAACGAGGAGCGUGCCAAUGCUCUUAAUCAGGUUGGAUAGACCUGAAGUCGUUGUUAAAGAUGUGAUGUAGGUGUAAAGUUAGUGUGCGUAGUACGCAUUCAUCCAGCCAACUAACUUUCCCACAUUCCUACCUAAUCACGUGUUUAAUUGAAUUGGUCACAUGUAUGAAGAAACAUGAUUCAAUUAACUCAUAUUAAAGGACAAUAUCAAUAAAAUUAUCCAUAAGUAAAACAUACACCAAACUCGAAUUCAAGAACAUAGAAACAUGUUCACAAAGUAAAUGGUUUACUAAGGGAAUUCGGCCAACAAGGUCAUCCAUGUCAAAAUUAUGCUCUUCCAAUGGUGUUUGGUGGAGCAAAAUUAGUCUCACGUAUUGACUACUAGAAUGGUACUCCUUAACAACAUUGGUAGGGGCACGAAUAGGUGCAUAACCAAUGGUUUAUUCCAUCGAGACGGAAAAAGAUUUUGCAGGAUUAAGAUUUGGGAAUAUUAUCCCUUAUUCUUGAAGUUUUAAGUCUUAAGUACCAAGGAUCACACUUCGGGCAUGAUGCCACACCUUGACAGGCUAUAAUUCUACCAUAUGUUGUAAAAACAAACUCAAAAUUGGAUUGUGAGAGAAUAUGUCAUUCGGUGUAUCCCUGCCGAAGCAGUGCAUCACCAUUCGGUAGGCUUUAACAGAACUGGGUCGAGCAAUUCGGUAGACUCCAGCUGAAUUGGGUCCAUACCUUUCUUUCACAUUUGUGGUAGUAAUCAGAUCCGAGAAUUUGGUAAGGGAAAUAGAACCCACUCCUGUUACAGGAGCAACAUCACCGUUGGCAGUAAUGACCUCUUAUUUAGAUGGUGAGGUCAUGUGAUAGAAUAAUGAUGCAUCAUAAGUCAUAUGAUUUGAAGCUCCAAAGUCAAUUAUCCAACCAGUAUCUCUUUUGGUGGAUGUUAUUAAAACAGUACCGUUUUUACCUAGAUCAUCUGAGUUGUCACUCAUUGAGAUUUGAUUGAUUAAAGAGAGGAGUGUGAUGGUGUCAUUUGCUGCCUCUGAAGUGGUCCUUGCAGCUUGGGCUUCUGCUAUUAGGUUGGACGAAGUGGGCCACGGCUGGCUUGCUGCAAUAGCAGCCAAGCCUCGGACUCUCUCAAUUUUUUCAAGUUGGGCUUUAAGCCCAGUUUGGCCCUUUGUACACCAGGCGCUGCUCCUGGUCCAAUAACUGCUACACAGAUUUGACCUGUUCUUUUAUUUCCUCGAGCCUUUAAUUUUUUCUUUCUCUCCCAGUACCAAUCUGGGUAGCCAUGGAUUUCAAAACAGGUCUCUUCUGUAUGUCGUGUUCCAUUACAGUGGUUGCAAUGGAGUUUAUCCUUAUCAAUAUCUUCCUGAGUACGAGAUGGUCGAGUGCUUCCAUUAGACUGUGGACGUGAACUAGACGCCUUGGUUGCCAUAGCCAUAAGGGGUACUGCCAUUAUAGUCUUUGUUCCUAUCAUAGUGGUCUUCCUCUGGGAUUCUCGUUGUACCAAAUUGAAGCAUUCUUCGAUUCCAGGGAUAGGUUUCAUCCUUAGAAUUUCACUCCGAACUUGAUCAAAACCGCUAUCUAAUCGAGCGAGAAAGUUGUACGCCCUAUCAUUUGCAACUUCUUCUUUCCGAGUUUUCAGGUCUGCUCCACACACCAUACAGAGUGGACGUCUCUUGUUAAAGUCUUGCCAAACGUCCUUUAGUUCGGUGAAAUAUAAAUUGAUUGAACGACCGUCUUGUCUCGUUCUUGUAGCCUUGCACCAGAUUUCAUAGUAUUGUGACUCAUUGGAACCAUCAUAAAACAUCUGGGUGACACUCUCCCAGAUAUCUUUGGCCGUGGGUAAAUCUAUAAAGAGGCCAAGUAGGUGUGGUUCCAUGGCUUUGAGCAACCACCCGCGCACGAUGACAUCUUCAGUGGACCACUUUACAUAUCCCGGAUCAUCUUCAUCAACAGCCGGGAUUUUACCUGUUAGGUAGCCUUGCUUCCCGAGGCCUGAAGCGUGAACCUCCAUCAUCUUGGACCAAACCUUGAAGUUCGAGUCGCUCAACCGAAACCCGAACGGAAUGGCAUUGACAUUGGCAGAUUCAAUUUGAGUCGCCACGGGUUGCAUGGGGAUUAUAACACCAAUUUUUUCUUCUGCCAUUGCACUACCAAUUGUAGCCUUGUUGCUUCCAAGGGCUACAGAACUUGAUUUCUGGAUUCAAGAAUUGAAGAACCAGAGUUUUGAUGGCUAAGGCUUGUACGGUGUUUUAGGGUUUUUCACGAAGAGUCAGAUCGAAAUCUGCUCUGAUGCCAAGAUAAAAUUCUAGGGUUGUGGUAAAUAUUGUUCUAAUAUUAUUCUUCUCAUUGAGGAAUAUAUAAGAUUACACAAACUCCUAUAAAUUAGGAAACAAAUAUCUCAAAUACACAAGGAUACCAUUUACAUAAUUAUAUACCCAAAAUAUCUCCACGGUCCUUAUUCUCCAAGACUGACUCACGCAACAAAAAUAAUGAGGGGUAGUUGAGUUGUUGAAACUCAAAUCCUACAACUUCUUUAUCCAAAAAAAGAAGUUUUCCUUUUCUGUAAUUGUUUUCCAUUUUUGUUAUGUUUCCAUUUUUGUCUUUGAUUGCUGGGAACAGAAAAACAUAAAGAUUCUCGCUUGCUGGAGUUACAGAGUUCCUUUCCAGCUACAAAAGUUCAAGUAAUCUGAGGUGCGUAAUCUAAAUUUCCAAUCUUUCUAGUUAGAUCAAAGCAACCUGCAAAAGGGGCUUCAUUUAUUUUUUUAUUUAUGUUUUUGGAUUUAGUUUGGUUAUUUUUCUUGUUUUUUUGCAGAUUUGUGUUCUGUUUAAGAUCAAAUCAGAAGUAGAUCUCAUCUGGGUUUUAUCCGAAGAGCGAAGUUAGAUGAAUCUUGAAGCCAUCCAAGUGCUGCAAAAUCUUUGAAUUUUCAAGAAAUUAAGAUUAGCACAAAAGAAUCAGAUAUGAGCGGUCUUCUAUACAAAUACAAUCCUAAUUUUAAGGCCUCGGAGGGAGAGCCGAGGAAGAACCACGCGGCGGAGUUCAUGGAUUCGAAUAUUUUCCACCAGCAGCAUCCUCAGCAGCAGCAGAGCUCCGGCUUAACGCGGUAUCAGUCAGCUCCAAACUCAUUUCUGAUGGAGCAGAUGGACAACAAUGGCGGCGGAACCCAGGAUUUGAGGUAUCUUCAACCUUCGAGCCCUGAAGUCGAAACGGUGCUGGCCAGGUUCAUUUCUUCAUGUAAUGAACCAGAUCAACGUGACAAUGGUGUGCAGCAGCAUCAGUUUGAAAUCCAAGAGAGGCCGGUAAAUGUGAAGGGAGAGGCAGGGGACUCUGUUUCUGAGCACAUUAAUGGUUACUCGAAUUCUACUCAUAUGAUGUACCAAGCUCCUCAAGGUCAGCAAGCUCAUGGUUUAGACAGCAGCUCCUUUGCUGGAGUCAACUCUACGGGAAUGGAGAAUUCAAUGAUGCAAUUGAAAAUUGGGGUCGGAAAUCGGUCUAAUCAUGUUAGACAAAGUAGCUCUCCGGCUGGUGUCUUCCCAAACUCGACCGUUGACGAUGGUAUAACAAUAUUUUUGUUGCCUACAUCUUGGAUAUAUUUGUUAAAAUGCUGACAGAUGUGUAUUGUUAUGUUGAAAUUUUGUUCUGGUUCCUCUAGUAAUUUGUUUUGGUUUGAUUGAAAAACAGGCUUUAACGUGAUGAAGGACUCGGCAGGAUAUCGCGCAGGCAAUGGUACAAAUGGAGAAGCCAGUCCAUCAACUUCUAGGUUUGGUAAUCAACUGAGCUUCUCAUCAAGGCAAUCUUCAUACUCAGGUCGAAUGCCUCGGAUUGCUGAAGAUGAGAAUGGGAACUUGGGAGAAGGUAGCCAAUCGCAACCAGAUCAUAGUUUAGGAAAUGCUAAUGGUAGCAAUUCACCUUACCAGUCUAGCUUCCCAGAUGAUUCGUUGGACGAUUCUUCAUUUAAUGACCUCAAAAGAGCCAGAGACAAUGAUGGGAACAAGUUUUCUACUUCGACUGCAUU